AUUGCACGCUAGCGGGAUGCUUUACACAUGCAAGUCGAACGAGUGGCGGACGGGUGAGUAAUAUAUCGGAAGUGCCCAGUAGCGGGGGAUAACUACUGGAAACGGUAGCUAAUACCGCAUACUAUCGGAUAACCCAUAUGGGAUUAGCUAGUAGGUGAGGUAAUGGCUCACCUAGGCGACGAUCCCUAGCUGGUCUGAGAGGAUGAUCAGCCACACUGGGACUGUGAAACGGCCCAGACUCCCACGGAGGGAGGAGUGGGGAAUAUUGCACAAUGGGCGCAAGCCUUAUGCAGCCAAGCCGCGGGUAUGAAGAAGGCCCUUGGGUUGUAAAGUAAUUUCAGUCGGGAGGAGUUACCGACAGAAGAAGCACCGGCUAACUCCGGGCCAGCAGCCGCGGUAAUUC
rnacentral:rRNA from 1 species